rnacentral:rRNA from 1 species
CCUACGGGUGACAGCAGUGAGGAAUAUUGGUCAAUGGACGAGAGUCUGAACCAGCCAAGUAGCGUGAAGGAUGACUGCCCUAUGGGUUGUAAACUUCUUUUAUAAAGGAAUAAAACGAGGCACGUGUGCCUUUUUGCAUGUACUUUAUGAAUAAGGAUCGGCUAACUCCGUGCCAGCAGCCGCGGUAAUACGGAGGAUCCGAGCUUUAUCCGGAUUUAUUGGGUUUAAAGGGAGCGUAGAUGGGUUGUUAAGUCAGGUGUAAAAGUUUGCGGCUCAACCGUAAAAUUGCAAUUGAUACUGGCAGUCUUGAGUACAGUUGAGGUAGGCGGAAUUCGUGGUGUAGCGGUGAAAUGCUUAGAUAUCACGAAGAACCCCGAUUGCGAAGGCAGCUUACUAAACUGUGACUGACAUUGAUGCUCGAAAGUGUGGGUAUCAAACAGGAUUAGAUACCCAGUAGUC